rnacentral:tRNA from 1 species
GCCACGGUGGUCUAGCGGUUAUAAUGCUGGCCUUGUAAUCCUGGAGUCUCGGGUUCGAUUCCCGGCGGUGCCC